UACAGAGGGUGCGAGCGUUAAUCGGAAUUACUGGGCGUAAAGGGCUCGUAGGUGGCCAACUAAGUCAGACGUGAAAUCCCUCAGCUUAACUGGGGAACUGCGUCUGAUACUGGAUGGCUUGAGUUUGGGAGAGGGAUGCGGAAUUCCAGGUGUAGCGGUGAAAUGCGUAGAUAUCUGGAAGAACACCGGUGGCGAAGGCGGCAUCCUGGACCAACACUGACACUGAUGAGCGAAAGCCAGGGGAGCAAACGGG
rnacentral:rRNA from 1 species